CUCUGCUCAGAAUCUUAAAAAAAUAAAAACGGACAUAAUCCACGCGUGAGUGGACUACUGUUUGUAAGUGAGAAUUCAGGAAAGUAGAGGUAAAAUUUAAUAUAUAUCUAUAUGUAUGUACGUAACGAUUAAUUAUUGCUUAAUUGAUUAAUUAUUGCUAACGAAAAAUAAUUGUGAGCGGAGUUCGGUUAAUAGUGUCAACAAUAUGUAUGUCAUAUUAAUGUAGAUUAUAAUAUAAUUACAUUAUGCAUUCUAGAUUUUCUUUAAUAAUAUUUAUUUAAUAUUGUUUCUAUUUUCCCGUUUUUCCUAUGUUUUUCCAAUUUAUUAUGAAAACAGCUGGGAAAAUCAAAAAAAAUAAUCUCCUUAAAAUACCACCCUAGUCAGAUUUCCUUUAAGAAAAAAUGCUUUAUUGUAAAUCAGAACAAAAUUUCUGGUAAAAAGCCAUUCACGGAAAAAAACAUCACUGUAAAAUCAAUACACUCGUCGCUUCGCU